AGAUGAGCACUCCCACCUCCUUGAGAGGGUAAGGCUCCCAGUAGACGACUGGGUUGAUAGGCCGGAUAUGGAAGCCCUGUGAGGGGUGGAGUUGACCGGUACUAAUAGGCCGAGGGCUUGUCCUCAG
rnacentral:rRNA from 2 species